rnacentral:rRNA from 1 species
GAUGAACGCUAGCGAUAGGCUUAACACAUGCAAGUCGAGCGCCCCGCAAGGGGAGCGGCAGACGGGUGAGUAACGCGUGGGAAUCUACCUUUUGCUACGGAAUAACUCAGGGAAACUUGUGCUAAUACCGUAUGUGCCCUUCGGGGGAAAGAUUUAUUGGCAAAGGAUGAGCCCGCGUUGGAUUAGCUAGUUGGUGGGGUAAAGGCCUACCAAGGCGACGAUCCAUAGCUGGUCUGAGAGGAUGAUCAGCCACACUGGGACUGAGACACGGCCCAG